rnacentral:rRNA from 1 species
UACGGAGGGGGCAAGCGUUGUCCGGAUUUAUUGGGCGUAAAGGGCGCGUAGGCGGUCAGAUAAGUCGGAUGUGAAAUCUCCGGGCUCAACCCGGAAACUGCAUUGGAAACUAUCUUGCUUGAGGGCUUGAGGGGGGACUGGAAUUCUCGGUGUAGCAGUGAAAUGCGCAGAUAUCGAGAGGAACACCAGUGGCGAAGGCGAUUCCCUGGAAAGCACCUGACGCUGAGGCGCGAAAGCGUGGGGAGCAAACAGG